UUGGAGGGCAAGUCUGGUGCCAGCAGCCGCGGUAAUUCCAGCUCCAAUAACGUAUAUUAAAGUUGUUGCAGUUAAAAAGCUCGUAGUUGAAUUUCGGGAUCAAUAUUUCGGUCAUGCCGUUGGUAUGCACUGUUAUCAUUGAUUUCUCACCUUCUAAAGAACCGUAAUGCCAUUAAUUUGGUGUUACGGGGAAUUAGGACUGUUACCUUGAAAAAAUUAGAGUGUUUAAAGCAGGCUCACGCUUGAAUACAUUAGCAUGGAAUAAUGAAAUAGGACGUUCGAUCCUAUUUUGUUGGUUUCUAGGAUUGACGUAAUGAUUAAUAGGGAUAGUUGGGGGCAUUAGUAUUCAAUUGUCAGAGGUGAAAUUCUUGGAUUUAUUGAAGACUAACUACUGCGAAAGCAUUUGCCAAGGAUGUUUUCAUUAAUCAAGAACGAAAGUUAGGGGAUCGAAGACGAUCAGAUACCGUCGUAGUCUUAACCAUAAACUAUGCCGACUAGGGAUCGGAUGAUGUUAAUUUUUAAUG
rnacentral:rRNA from 1 species